rnacentral:rRNA from 1 species
GAUGAACGCUGGCGGCGUGCCUAAUACAUGCAAGUCGAGCGAACAGAUGAGGAGCUUGCUCCUCUGACGUUAGCGGCGGACGGGUGAGUAACACGUGGAUAACCUACCUAUAAGACUGGGAUAACUUCGGGAAACCGGAGCUAAUACCGGAUCAUAUAUUGAACCGCAUGGUUCAAUAGUGAAAGGCGGUUUUGCUGUCACUUAUAGAUGGAUCCGCGCCGCAUUAGCUAGUUGGUAAGGUAACGGCUUACCAAGGCAACGAUGCGUAGCCGACCUGAGAGGGUGAUCGGCCACACUGGAACUGAGACACGGUCCAGACUCCUACGGGAGGCAGCAGUAGGGAAUCUUCCGCAAUGGGCGAAAGCUUGACGGAGCAACGCCGCGUGAGUGAUGAAGGUCUUCGGAUCGUAAAACUCUGUUAUUAGGGAAGAACAAAUGUGUAAGUAACUAUGCACGUCUUGACGGUACCUAAUCAGAAAGCCACGGCUAACUACGUG